rnacentral:rRNA from 1 species
UGUGAGCUCGAUGAGUAGGGCGGGACACGUGGUAUCCUGUCUGAAUAUGGGGGGACCAUCCUCCAAGGCUAAAUACUCCUGACUGACCGAUAGUGAACCAGUACCGUGAGGGAAAGGCGAAAAGAACCCCGGCGAGGGGAGUGAAAAAGAACCUGAAACCGUGUACGUACAAGCAGUGGGAGCACGCUUAGGCGUGUGACUGCGUACCUUUUGUAUAAUGGGUCAGCGACUUAUAUUCUGUAGCAAGGUUAACCGAAUAGGGGAGCCGAAGGGAAACCGAGUCUUAACUGGGCGUUAAGUUGCAGGGUAUAGACCCGAAACCCGGUGAUCUAGCCAUGGGCAGGUUGAAGGUUGGGUAACACUAACUGGAGGACCGAACCGACUAAUGUUGAAAAAUUAGCGGAUGACUUGUGGCUGGGGGUGAAAGGCCAAUCAAACCGGGAGAUAGCUGGUUCUCCCCGAAAGCUAUUUAGGUAGCGCCUCGUGAAUUCAUCUCCGGGGGUAGAGCACUGUUUCGGCAAGGGGGUCAUCCCGACUUACCAACCCGAUGCAAACUGCGAAUACCGGAGAAUGUUAUUACGGGAGACACACGGCGGGUGCUAACGUCCGUCGUGAAGAGGGAAACAACCCAGACCGCCAGCUAAGGUCCCAAAGUCAUGGUUAAGUGGGAAACGAUGUGGGAAGGCCCAGACAGCCAGGAUGUUGGCUUAGAAGCAGCCAUCAUUUAAAGAAAGCGUAAUAGCUCACUGGUCGAGUCGGCCUGCGCGGAAGAUGUAACGGGGCUAAACCAUGCACCGAAGCUGCGGCAGCGACGCUUAUGCGUUGUUGGGUAGGGGAGCGUUCUGUAAGCCUGUGAAGGUGUGCUGUGAGGUAUGCUGGAGGUAUCAGAAGUGCGAAUGCUGACAUAAGUAACGAUAAAGCGGGUGAAAAGCCCGCUCGCCGGAAGACCAAGGGUUCCUGUCCAACGUUAAUCGGGGCAGGGUGAGUCGACCCCUAAGGCGAGGCCGAAAGGCGUAGUCGAUGGGAAACAGGUUAAUAUUCCUGUACUUGGUGUUACUGCGAAGGGGGGACGGAGAAGGCUAUGUUGGCCGGGCGACGGUUGUCCCGGUUUAAGCGUGUAGGCUGGUUUUCCAGGCAAAUCCGGAAAAUCAAGGCCGAGGCGUGAUGACGAGGCACUACGGUGCUGAAGCAACAAAUGCCCUGCUUCCAGGAAAAGCCUCUAAGCAUCAGGUAACAUCAAAUCGUACCCCAAACCGACACAGGUGGUCAGGUAGAGAAUACCAAGGCGCUUGAGAGAACUCGGGUGAAGGAACUAGGCAAAAUGGUGCCGUAACUUCGGGAGAAGGCACGCUGAUACGUAGGUGAAGCGACUUGCUCGUGGAGCUGAAAUCAGUCGAAGAUACCAGCUGGCUGCAACUGUUUAUUAAAAACACAGCACUGUGCAAACACGAAAGUGGACGUAUACGGUGUGACGCCUGCCCGGUGCCGGAAGGUUAAUUGAUGGGGUUAGCGCAAGCGAAGCUCUUGAUCGAAGCCCCGGUAAACGGCGGCCGUAACUAUAACGGUCCUAAGGUAGCGAAAUUCCUUGUCGGGUAAGUUCCGACCUGCACGAAUGGCGUAAUGAUGGCCAGGCUGUCUCCACCCGAGACUCAGUGAAAUUGAACUCGCUGUGAAGAUGCAGUGUACCCGCGGCAAGACGGAAAGACCCCGUGAACCUUUACUAUAGCUUGACACUGAACAUUGAGCCUUGAUGUGUAGGAUAGGUGGGAGGCUUUGAAGUGUGGACGCCAGUCUGCAUGGAGCCGACCUUGAAAUACCACCCUUUAAUGUUUGAUGUUCUAACGUGGACCCGUGAUCCGGGUUGCGGACAGUGUCUGGUGGGUAGUUUGACUGGGGCGGUCUCCUCCUAAAGAGUAACGGAGGAGCACGAAGGUUGGCUAAUCCUGGUCGGACAUCAGGAGGUUAGUGCAAUGGCAUAAGCCAGCUUGACUGCGAGCGUGACGGCGCGAGCAGGUGCGAAAGCAGGUCAUAGUGAUCCGGUGGUUCUGAAUGGAAGGGCCAUCGCUCAACGGAUAAAAGGUACUCCGGGGAUAACAGGCUGAUACCGCCCAAGAGUUCAUAUCGACGGCGGUGUUUGGCACCUCGAUGUCGGCUCAUCACAUCCUGGGGCUGAAGUAGGUCCCAAGGGUAUGGCUGUUCGCCAUUUAAAGUGGUACGCGAGCUGGGUUUAGAACGUCGUGAGACAGUUCGGUCCCUAUCUGCCGUGGGCGCUGGAGAACUGAGGGGGGCUGCUCCUAGUACGAGAGGACCGGAGUGGACGCAUCACUGGUGUUCGGGUUGUCAUGCCAAUGGCACUGCCCGGUAGCUAAAUGCGGAAGAGAUAAGUGCUGAAAGCAUCUAAGCACGAAACUUGCCCCGAGAUGAGUUCUCCCUGACCCUUUAAGGGUCCUGAAGGAACGUUGAAGACGACGACGUUGAUAGGCCGGGUGUGUAAGCGCAGCGAUGCGUUGAGCUAACCGGUACUAAUGAACCGUGAGGCUUAACCUU